AUCUCUAGACAUGGUUCUGUCUUACUGUUAUAGGCAAAUGUUAGUAAACAAAAUAGUGUGUUCCUUUCAGAAGAGUACAGAAGAAUUUGCGUUCCUGUAAAGAAAUAAGGCGGACCAUCUAAUAAAACAUUGUUUCAGAAUAUGUGGUUUGGGAAUGAUUGUUCGGUUUUUUCUUACGAGAGCUGGAUAACAAGAUAAAAGUUCCUUACAUGAUGGAACGUUGAUGGAGAGUCAAUGGAAUGUCUGAAGAGAGUUAUCCCCUAUGAGCACAUGGACAUUGCAUAAUCAGUCUUAUCAUGGGAAUAAUUUGCCUGCCUAAAGAAGGCGAAGCAAUCAGCCAAGCAAUGAUACUGGAGUCCAGUAAAGAGAAAUCUUCCAGUGACAAUCAAGAGUUGAAUCGUAGACAUUCCAAUGGAGACAAGUCAUCCAACCAUCCAGCGGAAGUGUAGACAAUUUAAAGAAACCAGCAAUUGAUCCGGGCAAUAAUAGCGCAUCAGUUUCAUCUAGUUCUAUACAUAAGAAGAUUAUAUGGUCAUGAAGCUCGGCGUUGACAAGAGCAUCACCCUGUAGCUAUGCGUCCUUCUCUAACAAACACUCAAAGCACUACCAUGCCGGGCUAUGGGUGCGUAUGAUUUGAAUCUGCAGUAAAGACUGGUAAUUUUGUUUGUAUCUAGUCUUGACCAUGUAUGUCGUCGGGCACCAAUUCGACUAUUUUCACAGGUACUGCCUCAUCGACCAAGGAUCUACAGCGACGGCGGGACCACCGACCCCAUGGAGGCAGCACCAAAACCCUAGCCGCUACUGCUCUCCCCUGAGUCCCCUCCUCAUCUCCUUCCUCGUGCGAUGCUCUGCUUCAUCUUUUCUCAAGCCUCCACCAGUCAAAUUCGACCGGGAAAAAGAAACACCUACAUGCAUAUUAUCGGAUGUUCAAGCUAGAGGAUGUGGCGAUGGAAUAUGGAUCAAUGAGAUGAAGAAAGGUGUUGAUGUCAAGUACCAGAAUGAUGGAAGGAUCUUGUGGUUAUCUAGUUUCCCACCAGCAGGAUUCAAUGUAGAUGAUGUGCCUCUAGGGCAAAUUCUAGAAAUGAAAGCGACCCAUUUUUGCUCUCAAACAAUGAACAUAUUUUGUUCCCUAUUUAAUAAGUUAAAUUAGUUUAUGGGAAAUUUUGAUGUGAAAAUUAUUGAAUGUGUGUUAUUAUU